rnacentral:ncRNA from 2 species
ACAGUACAAACUGAGCAGGCGAUAGACCUUAUAAUUAAGGGUUUGUGGGGCCGGGCCAUGAAACGUGUGGCAACAGAUUGCAUUUAAAUACGCAUCUGUGGGACAGUA